GGCUGGUUUAGGGAGCUGAUGCUCCCCGCGGGCUGCAAACCUGUUGAGGAUGACUCCAAUGAGUGUCCUGUUCGGUUCGAUUCCGAAUCCAGCCUCCA
rnacentral:tRNA from 1 species